UCGCUGGAAUUCUCAGAUUCGAAGAAAUGCACACGCCUGCGGUGCUCGCAGAGAAGUCCCUCGGAAGCUAGGCGGGUCGCUUUCGCAACUGGGACUCCAAUGUUCCCAGUGGGAGCGGAGCUCUCACCGCGGCAGCCCCCAGGUUCCCCUAGGCGCCUUAGAGCAAAGGUGGCGGGGGAUCGCGCUGCCCUUCGCCCGCCGGCUCGGAACCAUGAACUUGUAUUCCGGGCGCCGCGCUCCUGCCACAGUGCUCGGCUAAAGAGCUCUAAGGAAUUCGGGAUCUGGGUACACUUCGGGAUCUCAGGCGGCAACCUGUCUGCGCCGCGCAUUCCUGCCCAGAUGUACCUUGUUUCCCCCUGGGCUGGCCUGUGGACUCUUGGGCAGCUCCCGGGCGGGGACGAGGGGAUGCGGUCUGGGGGCUAGUUUAGAAGCUUCGAGCGCAGCGAGAAAACAAAGGGAGCCUGGGGCUGGGAGGCUCUGCGGAGUCCCCGCCCGCCCUGCAGAUUAGCAGGCGCGUCGCGUCGGGGCUUCCCGGGCAGCUCUGCUCUGGGGAAUUAGAACGAACUCUAGCGGCCGUUUGCAACUCGGCUGUGGGCGCGAGGGCAUCAACAGGUGGCCGUGUGCAGCGGAGAGGCCAAUGGCGAGGACCCGGACUGGGGUGAGGACGGCUGGCCUUGGGGCUGACUGGGUGGCGGAUGCGCUGGGUGACCUUUUGGCUUUUUCAUUUCCGAGGCCGGGGAGAAGGAAGUAGCUAAAAGGUUUUUGUAAGUUCUGCCCUAGGGCUCUAAUUUCUGACAUACCCCUUGACUCCCCAGAAAUCCUUUGCAACAAAAAUUAAAACAGCUCAUAUGCAAAACUUU
rnacentral:lncRNA from 1 species